CGGCCAGGUUAAAAAAUCUUUGUCGGUCCCAAUGCAAUCUAUCUAUGUUUGCAGGGCCAAGCAGGCAGCUCCCCUGAUGAUGAGUGUGUGUGUCUCCUACAUGGUGUGCGCAUUUAUUACAACAACAGCGCGUUCCCCUGGAAGAGAAUGUAGAUAAGUGGCUGCUUCCUGCAAUGCACCAGUGACGUAAUAUGGCAGGCGGAGACUCCUGUUCCUGUUCUGGCUGAUUUGAAAUAUGGCGCCUUUGAUAGCGAUAAGGCAGAGAAGCUAUGUGUACAAUUUAACCCAUUGUGUGCAGUACUACAGGAGGAUAUGGAAACAAAGGCAGUUUUUUUUAUUUAAGGGUCAACAUGGCAAUGCCUCCAUCCAUCCUCUCCGAAAAUGUUCAUCUGCCUAAAUGAAAAAUCCUGCGCUCCGUGACUUUCUCACACCCAAGACUAUAUUCAGGGCCUAUUUUGAAUCUCAGUCCCAUCUGCAAUUGUCUCACAUGAAAUUGAAAGGGGCAGAGAACACCUAUUUAUUUUUAGCAUUACCAGAUUUUGGGCUCUGUCCGACAGUCUCCUGUCACUCAGUGUUUUUCGGGCAUAAAUCCAAUGUGCACAUGGGCAGAACAUUUUCAGUGACAACAGCGGAGUAAUAUGCGCAGUGCAUAAUCUUCAGGCUUCAUGUGUGCAUGUGCAUGAUGUUGCUUCCAAUGACAAAAUUAUCAACAAGUCCCUCUGUGACAAAUUAAGAAAGUUGAAAGAUCUGCACACACACACCCAGGGCCACCAUCAGGGGGACACAGGGAGUAACAGUUAUACUGGGCCUAAAGGGGUGCUGCUCUUUCCGAAUUAGCAGGCUCCCCUUGGCAGCCUUUAAGCUGAAUCCGAAGUGCAAUGUCCCAAAGACCUGGAAACCCGAAGACACAAAGUCCCGAAACCAUGAAAGGAGGCAAAGGAAACAAGAAAAAAGAACCUGAGUUAAUUUAAAGGUGAACAACCCCUUUAAGGAGGUCCUGGUUGUGCUGCAUUUGCCGGAUUAGCCACCGGAGAGAGCGGAAGAAGAGGAGGAGAAUGAAGAAGAACACACACCAAACUUUAAAGGUAAUUUCCAUUGAAUGCCAAUGGGCUUUUUUUUAUUUAAACCCAGUUUAUGUUGUUUUUUUUAAAACUUUUAUGGGGGGACCCUGGCCACCAGUGUUUUUUUUAACUUUUAU